CAGAAGCAAGGGCACGGAGGUCGGAGGCAAGUGCUCGGGAGAGGAGAGGAAGGCGACGCUCCAGGCAGCGGCGUUGGGCCAGCAACAUCAGGCAGUGGUUCUGGUGAUCCGUUCCUUUUCCUUGUUUUUAAUUUUUUUUCCUUCCCAAGAUUAUUAUCACCCAUCGCAAUUGCUACCUCCUCAAUCAUUGGUUUAUCUCCCGAUUGGUUCUUUGGAUGGUGAGGUUAAAUUAAUUGUGAGGGCCGCCAUGCUUCAAUUCCUGGCUGUUAUGGCUGAAUCCCGAUCGAUCAGAGGAUUUUUCCUAGCGUCGAUGUCGAGCCCAGCGCCCGGCGCUUCGUUGCUUUUCUCUUUCACCUGGGCCUUUUUUACAAGCGCUGCCUUAUUUUAGGCGAACACAAUUAGAUUAGCGCUCAACUAAAGGCCCUUGUGGAGAUAGACUGCUAGAUCGAUGCUACUUCCGUUAUUAUAUUUUUUAUUGCCUAAGCACAGAACAAGCACUCUUGCAUUGGAGAUGCCCUGAUUAGCUUCUUCUACAAAUUUGUCCCAAUGCAAUUAGCAGGCUAGCAUAUUCGAAAAAUGAAAUUUUGUAUGACAUAUAUAGCAAGAUAUGCAUGUAUUCCUACUCUUAUCUUAUAUGGACAAAUAGAUCUAACAGCUGGCUUGCUUGCUUGCAGUGGUACAGGUGUGAUCUUCAUGGAGCUAGCCAUCAUUGGAUUUGGUAAUACAUAAUCACUUAUUCAGAGAGCCCGAGGUGAGAAGGGACGAGCAUCUAGAACACCACCAUCUACUAAUCAGUGAGCUACUAUCUGUCUUUGAAUGAGUUACUUAACAAGAGAAGGCAGGUAGCAAUAGAACACAUGCAAUCUCAAUGUUUACUAAUUAUCUAUUUCUGAAUUUAUUCGUUCCCAGCUGCUCUGAAUCUGGGUGUUUUGCUUGCUGCUUUGUAGGAGUUUCCUACCUUUCUUCUGCAAAUCUGGAAUGCCUUUAUGGCAUGAUCAUGUGAAAAAAGUACCUUGAUGCAGUAAUGGAUUUGAUUAUCACUGGUUACUCUGUUUUCACGAAUUACUAUCCAACUAUAAGUCUGUUCUAGACCCUAAGGCCCAUGUAAAUGUGAUAUAAGAUUAAGCUAUUUAAUUUUAACUAAAAAGGAUAAUAUUCUUUCAGUCGCUUGAAUCUGUCCAGACCUGAAAAAUACUUAUAGUUUGAAAGCUUGAUAUAUGAGUAUGUAAUUUUACAGGUAUGUAGAUAGUCGCAAUGUUAUUGUUCAAAUGUACUCGAGCCAGGUUUUCGGUGUUUCAUUGCAACCAAAAGAAUUGGUAAUAUUGUUUUGAUGAAAACAUGGUCGCACUUGUCGGUGUUGUAUAAUAGGAUUUUUAAUUAGUGGCAUAGGAAAUUUUUUGUAUCCUAAAGAUUCUUACAGAUUGGAAUAGGAAUUGGUAGCUAACAUCUUGGGAUUUUGUGAUCAUCUACAGUUGAUUGAAAGUCCAUUUUCCCUAAGAUCCACUAUGACAAUGAAAAAGAUUUCUGAAAACUGUGUCAUCAUAAAUGUUCCGUCAUUGUCCAUAGCAAUCCCAUGCCGUAUUAAUUUCAGAAGAAUAAAUUCUUAUUCAGAUAUUCAUUGUGUUUUUAUGUAUUGCUAUAUCUAAAAAAGCAAGUUUCAGCUAAAACCAGAGCCGUGGUUAAGAUACUCUUCGCACCUAGGAUAUGUGUUCAGAUUGCUAACUUUAAACUAUAGUUUUAGAAAAUGUGGUGCCCUCGCUUAUUUUUCUAAUGCAUGAACUUAGGGUAAAUGUUUUAUGUGUAAUGCGUGCUUGAUUUCUUUUUGAUUCUGGUGGAUUUUGAUUUUCUCCACCAUGCUUCUCUCCAACGGGAUGAGUCUGUUUUCACAGCAGCAGGUGAUGCAUGUGCUUAUUGUUGGCUGUUGGGAUGUGGUAUGCAUUUUCUCAUUGUUGGUUGUUUAUUGUUUGCUAUGAUUAAGAUACAUUGGCAUGUACAUUUUAUAUCAUUUUUGUUUUCAACACCACCUAUCACUGUAUAAUUUGCCGUUAAUAGAGUAGUUUCUCCUUUAUUGCAUUGCAUAAUGCUAGCAAGCUACAUUGCACCAUAAACAAAAUAAUCCUCUUCCAAGGUUAAACCUGUUUUUUCCUUCUAGCAAAGAUCAUCUCUGGAAAAGAUCAAUUCCGUUAGCCUAUAAUAUUGCAGUUCUUUCAUAUCCUUCAAAGAUUUAUAAAUAUUUUCUCCUUCCACUCCAUUCAUUCUCAUGGAUUCUGAAAAAAAAAUUGUUUUUUGUUGAUUAAUAAUAUUGCUUUCCCUUUCAGUUUUGUGGUGGUCGAUGCAUGUAGAAUAUACAGACUUUCCUAGAAUGGCGCCUUUUAGUUUUUCUGCUUGAUGUUAGUUCAUUGAUGAGAACACCUAUGUACAUGAUUGCUGCAUGCAUGAUAUCCUACUAUAUACUGAGAAAUAUUUUUGUUUUUCGGACAUUGUUUUCUAAAUCCUAUCAACAUAUUACCUGAUAUGGUCUUUGAAGUUUCUAUUUUAUAGCGAGCUUUGCACUGGUCAACUUGAGUAUGGUAUGGUUUAGUCUUAUCUGUUGCAGCUAUUCCAGAGAAAUGUAGAGCUCUGCAACCUUCCGAAGACUUGAUUUACAGUACUCCCGCCGUCCCUUUUUAUAAGAAGUUUAGACAGCUGAUUUUGAACUAUUUUUGGAGCUGUCUGAACUUUCUAAAACGUCUUAUAAAAGUGAACAGAUGGGUAUUGAACCCAUAGAUCCGCUUAUAAACGGACCUUUUAUCAGCAUUGAGAAGGUGGCACAAAAACUCAAACACAGGGUGAUCAGCUAAGAAAAUAAGUUAAGAAGGACUUUCGGAAAACACAGGGUGACCCAGGUUGUGAGAGCUGAUGACGACUCUAUUAAAAGUCCUUGCUGCCUGCCCCAUUUAUGUCUCUGUAAACAGAAUAACUAAGGUCAUAUGGUUUCCAAUGUGACUAAGAUCUAAAUUCUUGCCGAGUGUAGUUUCUGAACCACAAAGUUACUAUAAAAUGGAAAUAUUUUCAUUGUGGCAUGAUUUUGAAUGGGAUAUUGCGCUACCAAAUUAGAAUGUGUAUAUACAUCUCAUUGUAGACAACAAAUCACCUUUUUUUUGCUAUCAAAGGGGAUUAGAUUUGUUGCCAUAUGUGCUUCCCUAAAGCUAAACCAACUAAAACAUAGAUUUUGUUUCAAAUGAGACUCGACGGUACCAAAUUAAAAUUUGUAUAUACAAACAUCUCAUUGUAGACAAAGUCAUUGCUUUUCCUGACUAAAGGAGAUUAAAUUUGUUAGUCAUAUGUGCUCAUCCAUAACUAAAUUAACUAAAUCAUGGAUUUCUUUUCAUCGCGCACAUGGAAUCAUCAGGUCUUUGCGCCAUUUGGCGCAACGGGUCCACUAGUAGUAUUAAUGAACGGAGGGAGUAAGAAGCAAGUGCUUUUUCCCCCUGUAUAAAUAAAGAAAAUAAUUGAACAUCAACGGGUAGAACAUCAGUAAUCAACUCUCUCUCUUAAAAAAACGUCAUUACUCGAUAGAGCCAUACUGUUACAAUGUGAUUCAGCUAGGUUUCACGAGACACACAAAGAGUAUUCCAAUUUCCAACUUCCCCGAAAGAAGUCGGGAUUUCCAACCAAAAGACGCGUAAAAAGGAAAAGUUUGUUGCAAUCCGGCAGGCAUCAGAAUCCGGAACGCAUCGGAAAGAUCGGGCUCGGUGACUUGGAUUGCUGCUGCUGGCUCGCGGACUGCAGCGCCUGGUCGACCAUGGCGGCGCGCGACGCCCGGGACACGGCCGUGCCGCCGGCCAGCGCUCGCUGGUAGGCCUCGUCGUCCUCCAUGCUCGCGCCCCCUUCCAGCGCCAGGUGCACGAGGCGGUGCAUGUCAUGCGACGUCAGCUCGUGCUGCUCGGUCAGCUCGGGGCCGUCCGAGCGCGCCUCGAAGCCCGACAGCAGCAGGUUCGCUCCCUCCCCCGCGCGGGCGCCGCGGUACUGGCGCACCGUGAACUGGGCGCCGCAGCCGUCCUCGUCAUCGUCGUCGUCCUCGUACGCGGCGACGGCCCGCUCGCCGUGCAGGCUCCGCGCGCCGCUCAGGUCGAAUUCCCCGAACUCCAUGUCGCUCCCGCUCUCAUCGUCGUCGUCGUCCGACGCUGCCUGCUCCUCGGACGCGUCAUCGUCGACGAACACCACGCGGAGGCGGAACUCCAUGCCGCCGAGCUCGUCGAGCGCGCCGCGUCUCGCCCCGACGCGCUCCGCCGCCCUCCUGGCCUCCAUCGCGACCUCCGGGCGUAUCAUCGGGUUGUCGAGCCUGGCCACGAGGUCUGUGAACACCCGGUCCGCGGCGCCCCGGCGGCCCAGGUCGCGGAGCGGCACGCGGCAGGACACGUCCUCCAUCGUGUCGACGUCCACGGGACCGCCGCCGUAGUCGCUGCAUUGCUCGACGAGCAGCCGGAACGUGACGACGAGCCGCACGAGUCUGCGGCCGGGAUCUCGGCGAGCAGGACCAGCUUGUCGGGAUGGCUGAGCAGGACGUGCUCGUUCACGGCGGUGGCCAUGUCUACUCUAGCUGCGCGUACACCAGCGGACGAACUUGGACGCUGAUGAGUAAUUUGAUUGAGUGCGAGAACGUCGCAGGCUGUGCUCCUAGAGCGGAACCGGGGCCUGCUUAUAUAGCUCAAGGGUCAUGGCGGUUGAAACAAGUGGGAGCCGAACUCGACUCGGACGAGCAGUCCAGAAAUCCCAUAUACCGGAGUCGUGGCCGGAAUCGGAUGUCAGGGUUCUGAACCUGUUACAUGACUCUAUCCAAGUUCAGUUAUCCAACGGUUAUGAAGCAUCUGGGCUAUGAGGAUCCAAUGGCUCCUGUGCUCGCGUGUUACUGUACCGUUUCACUUAUUUUUUUUGCGGGUAAGUACCCUUUCACUAUUGCCUGUACUGUUUACUUUCAUACCAUUGUCGGGCUAUAUAAGAGCUGGUGCACAGCGCUUGUACCAUCAUCUAUUCUGCCGAGUUGAACUCAAUUAUACACUUAAAACAUUCAUCUUAUAGUAGACAUGGAUAUUCCCAGCGUAUACUCUUAGCCGAGAUCCACAUCGAAACCCUAGCGAGCUCCCUCGAUCCCCUGAUUCCACAGGACAAUUGGUAAUCACAGCACAUGCUUUCCUCGGCAGCUUGAGAUGUGUGUCUCACCGUAGAUCAUCCCACCCACCUCUCCCUUAAUUCGGUGUUGGGCGGCGGCGGCGGCAAUGUCUGGCAACGGUGUUUUUGGGUGGCGUUAGCGGUGGUGACCAUCGGGCAUGGUUGGCGGCGGUAGAAAUCAUCCGGCGGCAGCUCCUGUUCGUGUUCUGGUUACCAAAACACUUUGUUUCGGGGUAAAAUCCCAGGAACAAUGGCGAGUGAUGCUGCAAUUGGAGGAGUCUUCUACGGAGGCGAUAUGUAUCACUCCUCUGUUCGGGUUAUCGUGGUACGACAGUAAAAUUCCUCUCAGAGUCAGUGAUACAAGAUGGGACUUAACCAAGUCUGUCAUCGAUGAGGCAGAAGUAGCAGAUCUGUUAGCUAUGAAAGCAUAUUUUGCUGCCCACAAGGGAGAAACAGAUGAACUUAAGGAGGAUGUUGGGCAAGGAUGUGAAGCCGAUUAAUUCUAAGCAAGAUAAUAUGUGUAAAGUGAUUGAUACUAUACAAGCAGUAGUUAUGACUCUAAGAGCAUCUACAACCAGGCGCCUCAAACCCAUCUCAUACGCCCGGACGGGCCGCCCGGUCACGAUUUUUUGACCCAGACGGGCUCUUUAAACUGGCCCCAAACAGCCGGGCUGACUGACACCCCUCAUAUCCAGCCCAAAUAUGGGGGGGGGGGGCACCCGCCACGUCGGCCCGACAGCCCGACCCCAUCAAAAAUUGCACCAAAUCCAUCGAACACUUCCUCCUCCUCCCGCCGCCCUCCAACCUUUCAUGUGCCCGGACCCUCGCCGUCCUCCAUGCUUGCUCCCAAUCCUCACCACCGGUCCCGAUCCAUCGCCGGAGAUGUCGUCCAGCCCGAACUAGACCGCUGCGACAGAGACGCGGUCUGCCUCAUCCGUCGGCGUCCCUUCAUCGGCUGCGACUUGCAAGGCGGAGAACAUCGCCCAGAAGUUGUGGUGACGUCGGCAACGAGAGAGGGAGGCGGCGACAGCGUCGCAGGGAGGUUCAGACAUGGUGGAGCAGCUAUCUCCUUUGUCGCGCCCGGAUCUCCGCACCCCUUCCAUUCGAGCACCCAGGCAGAUUACGGCGUCCGACCAGUGAUCGAAGGCCAUCCGUCAUGCUCAGACAUUGAUUUCAUUUUGGCAUGUCCGAUUUGUUGAACUAUGAUUUGCUUUGCUUUGUUUCAAACUUUUGAAUUCAGACGAUUUGUAUCGUAUGAUCGACGUGCAUGGAUUUGAGGAUUGGAAUUUGAGUUAUGUGGAUGUGCGGCACAACAUAUGAGGGGCCGGUGGGCGCUGUCCGCGGACGCGCCCGGACACACCCGCGGGCAUAUAGGGGGCCGGAUUUUCCAAGUCCGGCUGUAGAUCCUCUAAGUCAGCAACUGUCCACUAUCACUGACGUGUUGAAAACAUUGGGCUCCAAUGAUGCUUCCACCUCAGCUCAACCAACUACUGGUGAGAUUAGCAGAGACCAAGCUCCAUCAACUGAAAUUCCACUGGAAACACCUGACAUUCCUCCAAGAUCAUUGCCAGAAGAAUUGCACAAGCGCCUCUUGUUGGAACAAGAAAAGACUCGACUAUACACACUCUUAAAUGCUCAUAGACUUCCUCCUAUCCAGGUAGCACAAAAAUCAGCUCCUCCAGGGUUUAGUCGAGCCAAUCCACAAGAUGUUCAAUUUGAAGGAGCAUCUCCUACUGCUCAAAUGAAAACAGCAAGAACCACUGCAUUUCCCAUGUCCAAUCCACAUGAAGUAAAUGUAAUUUGGGACGAGUACUACAAAAACUACGAGAAGGAAAUGAGAACACAAUUACUCAAGAACAUCAUUAAGGCCCCUCGGAUGGCGUUUCCCAAGUUUGAUGGGUACAAUCCUGAUGGUUGGAUCAGGCAGUGUGAGAAGUAUUGCCAGAUGUUAGGAGCACCUAACGAUUACAAGGUUUGUUUGGCACAACGGUAUGUGGUUGACAAGGCAGAUUUUUUGGCUUAGAAGAUGUGGCUUACUCAAGAAACAUCUUACUUGGCCCCAGUUCUGUGAGGAAGUGCUUAAAACGUUUUCACUAACAAGGUCAUAUGAUUUAACAGAAAGGUUCAACUCUUUCAAGCAAGGAAACAUAUCUAUUUUUGAAUACAUAGACCAGUUUGAGUCCCUGAUGGCUAAAAUGCAGGAGGAAAACCAUACUCUAGCAGAAUAAUGGCUCAUUAAAUGCUAUGCAGAAUGGGAUGAGAUCUCACAUCAAAUUCCAGUUGAGACCUCUCAGACCUCCUGCACUUACUAGUGCAUAUCGGUUGCCAGUGGAUAUGGAACAAUCUAUCCCCCCCAAGAACGCUAAUUUCUAGACUAUAAGCGGAUAAAAAAACCUACAACAACUUCAAAACUACCGGGUUUGAAGCUAAACUACCAGAACAAAAAUUACCAACCACCACUCAAAGAGCAAGGGAGCCUGGAAAUUGCUGGAGAUGUGGUGAUGCUUUCAUGGGCAAAAAUGUAAGCAAGCUCCUGUUAUUAACAUGUUAACAGGAGAAGAACCUACCGACCAGACUGAAGAUCAGGAGACUGUAUCAGACGAGGAGUAGGAAACUCCACAAGAUGCUCAGGACAGAUGUAUGAUAAUUUCACUCCAGGUUAUGGAAGUUGAUAGUGUUAACACCAUGUCAAACUUAAUUUCAAUUGGAGGAAAGCAAGCAAUGGCUUUAGUGGACUCUGGGAGCAACUCCACAUUUAUGAAUUUGCCAUUUGCUCUAAAAACAUCACACACGUACUUAAGGAAAAGUCAAGACCUGUAGCAGCUGCUGGUGGUUUGGUCUGGUGCUUAUAUCCCAGACACAACAUUCUCUAUGGGGAAAGACAAAUUCCAACACACAUUCAGGAUUUUAGACCUACCUGGGCAUGAUAUAGUGCUUUGUUGUGAUUGGUUAGCAAAACACAGUCCUACUACAUUGGACCACAUCAACAGAUCUAUCACUAUUAUGAAAGAUGGCAAAGAACAAGUUCACAUUCCAAUCAACUGCAGAAGCAACUGAGAUAAAUGCAAAUGUCAUGGAAAAGUUGCUCAACAAAGGAGCAACUGGUUUUUCUAUUUAUCUACUCAACACCUCCAACUCCUAUUCUGCUCUCACAAAAUCAAAAAUCCCCGAUCCAGUUGCAGAACUCUUGGAAAAAUUCCCUACUAUCUUUGCUGAACCCAAAGGACUGCCACCUGCUAGGGCCUUCGAUCAUGAAAUCCCUCUCAAGCCAGGAACAACUCCCCCCUACUCUAGGCUGUACAGACUACCUCAUCAGCAUACAAAUGAGAUGGAACACCAAGUGCAACAUCUUCUAAAAUCUGGUAUGAUCAGAGAGAGCCAAAGCCCUUAUGCUUUAGCAGCUAUCUUGGUUGGCAAAAAGGACAAAAGUUGGAGAUUAUGUCUGGAUUUCAGAAAGCUCAAUGUCGUGACCAUCAGAAACAAAUAUCCCAUUCCUGUGAUUGAAGAUCUGAUUGCUGAAUUAUUUGGAGCUAAUUUUUUUCACAAAUUUGGAUUUAAGAUCUGGUUAUCACAAAUCAGAAUGAGUGAAAAGGACAUUCGCAAACAGCUUUUAUCACUCAUUUUGGGAAUUAUGAGUGUCUAGUUAUACCCUUUGGUCUAGCAAAUGCACCUAGAACCUUUCUGGCCUUGAUGAACAACAUAUUGUCACAUUUUCUCAGGAAACACACAUGAUUUUCUUUGAUGAUAUUCUCAUUUUUAGUGAAACCUUGGAAGGACAUCUGUAACAUUCAGAGGCAAUACUAUCUGUUUUGCAGAAAGAACAACUAUGUGUCAAGUUAUCUAAGUACCAAUUUGUUGUUUCACAAGUAGAAUAUCUGGGCCACAUCAUCUCUAGUGAGGCGGUAUCCACUGACCAAACUAAAGUUGAUGAUGUUGCUGAGUGGGUAACUCCUAACACAGUUACCCAGCUUAGGGUUUUCUUGGGCCUUUGUGACUAUUAUAGGAUAUUUGUGAAGGAUUUUUGGAAUUAUUGCUAGGCCCCUCCAUGAUGUACUACAGAAGGACAAUUUUGCCUGGUCCCAACUUAUGGCCCUCUUAAGAGGAGCCGCAUGUGGUGCUCCCCAAGGAGUCAAAACCUCCGAGGGGUAGAGCGGGCCUGCGAGCAAGGAAGACCUUGGUCACCCGAUCCAAGGCAUAGCAAAUCCAGCUAGUUUGGAAGUUUUAGCUUGCCAAGACGCUAUUUCAUUGGCGCAAGACUUGGGUAUGCAACAUCUCCAAAUCGCAUCGGAUUGUAAACAUGUUGUGAAUCAUAUUCACCAGGGCAUGGGAGGAAGCUAUGGAAGUGUUAUUAGAGAGACCCUAGGAACUACUAGAAAUUUUACUUCUUGUAAUUUUAUUUUUGAACCUCGAGCUUCAAACACUAAAGCUCAUAGGUUAGCUAGGUCAGGUGCUUCUCUCCCUUAUCAACGCCAUAUUUGGUUGGGCACAUCGAGUGACCCAAUUGCUUUUCUUGUAAACAUUGGUAUUAACCAAUAAAGACCUAGCUUUCUUGCUAAAAAAACCCGAUCCGAGGAGACCCACACCUCCUCCACCCAUGAGGAUGAUGCGAAGGAGGACACAGGGGAAGGAAACCCUUCCCUCAAGGGGAAGAGGGCGGCGUCUGAGGGCGCCGAGGAGGAAGCGCAGCCAAAAGGCCUGAAGAGGCCAUGCAAGGCCUUCACUGAACCUGUCGGCAAGCCCACCCUGCUGAAGAAGGCUAACUUCUCCGAUGAGUAGGACGAGGACCUCCUCGAGAUGGGGAGGGAGAAGCCGGCACCCCGGAGGUAUUUUAUUGUAGCCAGAUUUGAAUUUCAAAAGUCUGUUCAUCAAAUGAAACUUAUAGAGGCAUUUUCCAGCCCACCGAAGGUACACCUUAGAGGCAACACCUCGAGCGGGCUAUCUCUGACUGACAUUGGGAGUCUGUAUUGGGGAACGCAGUAAUUUCAAAAAAAAUCAUAGACGGGCAUGAGUCUGAAAUACCAAUUUCAGCUCUUGGAACAUCUCAUAUGCUCCGUGGCAUUUCAAAAAUGUUUUUGAAGUCCCGGUUCUAAGCCAUAAAGCAUGGUGCACUAAACUAUCAAGUAGUCAUCAUAUUGAGCUAGCCAAACGUUCAUAACGUCUGCAUCUGCUCCUGCAAUAGGUCUGUCACCUAGCGGUGCAUCAAGGACAUAAUUCUUCUAUGCAGCAAUGAGGAUACACCUCAGAUCACAGACCCAGUCCGCAUCAUUGCUACUAUCAUUUUUCAACUUAGUUUUCUUUAGGAACAUAUAAAAAACAUAGGGAAGCUAUAACGCGAGCUAUUGUUCUACAACAUAAUUUGCAAAAUACUAUCAGGACUAAGUUCAUGAUAAAUUAAAGUUCAAUUAAUCAUAUUACUUAAGAAAUCCCACUUAGAUAGACAUCCCUCUAGUCAUCUAAAUGAUCACGUGAUCCUAAUCAACUAAACCAUGUCCGAUCAUCACGUGAGAUGGAGUAGUUUUCAAUGGUGAACAUCACUAUGUUGAUCAUGUCUACUAUAUGAUUCACGCUUGACCUUUCUGUCUCCAAUGUUCCGAGGCCAUAUCUGCAUAUGCUAGGCUCAUCAAGUUUAACCCGAGUAUUCUGCGUGUGCAAAACUGACUUGCACUCGUUAUAUGUGAACGUAGAGCUUAUCACACCCGAUCAUCACGUGGUGUCUCGGCACGAAGGACUGUCGCAACGGUGCAUACUCAGGGCACUUAUACCUUGAAAUUUUUAGUAAGGGAUCAUCUUAUAAUGCUACCGCCGAACUAAGAAAAAUAAGAAGCAUAAAAUAUAAACAUCAUAUGUAAUCAAAAUAUGUGACAUAAUAUGGCUAUCAUCAUCUUGUGCCUUUGAUCUCCAUCUCCAAAGUACUGUCAUGAUCUCCAUCGUCACCAGCAUGACACCAUGAUCUCCAUCAUCUUGAUCUCUAUCAACGUGUCAUCACAUGGUCGUCUCGCCAACUAUUGCUUUUGUAACUAUUACUAUCGCAUAGCGAUAAAGUAAAGCAAUUAUAUGUCGCUUGCAUCUUAUCAAUAAAGAGACAACCAUAAGGCUCCUGCCAGUUGCUGAUAACUUUAACAGAACAUGAUCAUCUCAUACAACAAAUUAUAUCUCAUCACAUCUUGACCAUAUCACAUCACAACAUGCCCUACAAAAACAAGUUAGACGUCCUCUACUUUGUUGUUGCAAGUUUUACAUGGCUGCUACGGGCUUAGCAAGAACCAUUCUUACCUACACAUCAAAACCACAAUGAUUUUUCGUCAAGUGUGCUGUUUUAACCUCAACAAGGACCGAGCGUAGCCACACUCGAUUCAACUAAAGUUGGAGAAAUAGACAUUCACUAGCCACCUGUGUGCGAAGCACGUCGGUAGAACCAGUCUCGUGUAAGCGUACGCAUAAUGUCGGUCUGAGCUGCUUCAUCCAGCAAUACCAUCGAAUCAAAGUAUGACAUGCUAGUAAGCAGUAUGACUAUUAUCGCCCACAAAUCUUUGUGUUCUACUCGUGCAUAUAACAUCUACGCAUAGACCUGGCUCGGAUGUCACUGUUGGGGAACGCCGUAAUUUCAAAAAAAUUCCUACUAUCAUGCAAGAUCUAUCUAGGUGAUGCAUAGCAACGAGAGGGGAGAGUGUGUCCACGUACCCUCGUAGACCGGAAGCGAAAGCGUUUCAAUAACGCGGUUGAUGUAGUCGAACUUCUUCACGAUCCAACCGAUCAAGUACCGUACGUAUGACACCUCCGGGUUCAGCACACGUUCAGCUUGAUGACGUCCCUCGUACUCUUGAUCCAGUUGAGGCCGAGGGAGAGUUUCGUCAGCACAACGGCAUGGAGACGAUGAUGAUGAAGUUACCGGCGCAGGGCUUCGCCUAAGCACUACGAUGAUAUGACCGAGGUAUGUAACUGUGGAGGGGGGCACCGCACACUGCUAAGACAAAUCUUGGAGUGCCUUUGGGGUGCCCCCUGCCCACGUAUAUAAAGGAGGGAGUAAGAGGAGGCCGGUCUAGAGGGGGCGUGUCAAAGGGGGGAGUCCUACUUGGACUACGUGGGCAGGGGGCACCCCAAAGGCACUCCAAGAUUUGUCUUAGCCGUGUGCGGUGCCCCCCUCCAGAGUUACAUACCUCGGUCAUAUCAUCGUAGUGCUUAGGCGAAGCCCUGCGCCGGUAACUUCAUCAUCAUCGUCGCCACGCUGUUGUGCUGAAGUAGGAUUCGCCCCUUUCCUAUUCCAACUAGGAGAAGGAAGGGAAGGAGGAAGAGGGAAGAAGGAAGGAGGGAAGCGCCGCCCCCUCCUAGUUCAAUUCGGACCAGCCCAUGGGGGGGCGCACGGCCACCCCUUGAGGCCCUUCUCUCCUUUCCCGUAUGGCCCAUUAAGGCCCACUACUUCCCCCAGUGAAUUCUCGUAACUCCCCGGUACUCCGAAAAAUACCCGAAUCACUCAGAACCUUUCAGAUGUCCGAAUAUAGCCUUCCAAUAUAUCGAUCCUUACGUCUCGGCCAUUUUGAGACUCCUCGUCACAUCCGUGAUCUCAUCCAGGACUCUGAACAAACUUCGGUCAUCAAAACACAUAACUCAUAAUACAAACCGUCAUCGAACGUUAAGCGUGCAGACCCUACGGGUUCGAGAACUAUGUAGACAUGACCGAGACAUAUCUCCAGUCAAUAACCAAUAGCGGAACCUGGAUGCUCAUAUUGGCUCCCACAUAUUCUAUGAAGACCUUUAUCGGUCAAACCGCAUAACAACAUACGUUGUUCCCUUUGUCAUCGGUAUGUUACUUGCCCGAGAUUCAAUCGUUGGUAUCAUCAUACAUAGUUCAAUCUCGUUACCGGCAAGUCUCUUUACUCAUUUCGUAAUGCAUCAUCCUGCAACUAACUCAUUAGUCACAUUGCUUGCAAGGCUUAUAGUGAUGUGCAUUACCGAGAGGGCCCAGAGAUACCUCUCCGAUACAUGGAGUGACAAAUCCUAAUCUCGAUCUAUGCCAACCCAACAAACACCUUCGGAGAAACAUGUAGAGCAUCUUUAUAAUCACCCAUUUACGUUGUGACGUUUGAUAGCACACAAGGUAUUCCUCCGGUAUUCAGGAGUUGCAUAAUCUCAUAGUCUGAGGAACAUGUAUAAGUCAUGAAGAGAGCAGUAGCAAUGAAACUAUAACGAUCAUAAUUCUAAGCUAACGGAUGGGUCAUGCCCAUCACAUCAUUCUCAUAAUGAUGUGAUCCCGUUCAUCAAAUUACAACACAUGUCUAUGGUUAGGAAACAUAACCAUCUUUGAUUAACGAGCUAGUCUAGUAGAGGCAUACUAGGGACAAUCUAUUUUGUCUAUGUAUUCACACAUGUACUAAGUUUCCGGUUAAUACAAUUCUAUCAUGAAUAACAAACAUUUAUCAUGAUAUAAGGAAAUAAAUAAUAACUUUAUUAUUGCCUCUAGGGCAUAUUUCCUCCAGUCUGAGCCUGCUGUGACCCCUCCAGCUCCCGAGGGGUUGGGGGAAGCAUCAUCCGGUCCGUCCCCCACUCAACACUGAAGGAAAUAUGCCCUAGAGGCAAUAAUAAAGUUGUUAUUUUAUAUUUCCUUAUUGAUGAUAAAUGUUUAUUAUUCAUGCUAGCAUUGUAUUAACCGUAAACUUGAUACAUGUGUGGAUACAUAGACAAAACACCGUGUCCCUAGUAUGCCUCUACUUGACUAGCUCGUUAAUCAAAGAUGGUUAAGUUUCCUAGCCAUAGAAAUGUGUUGUCAUUUGAUGAAUGGGAUCACAUCAUUAGUCAUUAGGAGAAUGAUGUGAUGGACAAGACCCAUCCGUUAGCUUAGCAUAAUGAUCAUUCAGUUUUAUUGCUACUGCUUUCUUCAUGUCAAAUACAUAUUCCUCCGACUAUCAGAUUAUGUAAUUCCCGAAAUACCAGAGGAAUGCCUUGUGUGCUAUCAAACAUCAAAACGUAACAGGGUGAUUAUAAAGAUGCUCUGUAGGUAUCUUCGAAGGUGUUUUGUUGGGUUGGCAUAGAUCGAGAUUAGGAUUUGUCACUCUGAGUGUCGGAGAGGUAUCUUUGGGCCCUCUCGGUAAUGCAGAUCAUAAGAAGCCUUGGAAGCAAUGUGACUAAUGAGUUAGUUGUGGGAUGAUGCAUUAUGGAAUGAGUAAAGAGACUUGCCGAUAACAAGAUUGAACUAGGUACGAAGAUACGACGAUCGAAUCUUGGGCAAGUAACAUACCGAUGACAAAGGGAAUAACGUAUGUUGUAAUAAUGGUUUGACCGAUAAAGAUCUUUGUAGAAUAUGUGGGAGCCAAUAUGAGCAUCUAGGUUCCGCUAUUGGUUAUUGACCGGAGAGGUGUCUCGGUCAUGUCUACAUAGUUCUCGAACCCAUAGGGUCCGCAUGCUUAACGUUCGAUGACGAUUUUGUAUUAUGAGUUAUGUGAUUUGGUGACCGAAUGUUGUUCUGAGUCCCGGAUGAGAUCACGGACAUGACGGGGAGUCUCAAAAUGGUCAAGAGGUAAAGAUUCAUAUAUAGGAUGAUGAUAUUCGGACACUGGAAGUGUUCUGGGGGUACCGGGUACAUAUCGGGUCACGAAAGGGGUUCCGGGCAUCCCCCCGACAACUACAUGGGCCUAAUGGGCCAAGAAGGGGACAGACCAGCCCCUAGGGGGCUGGUGCACCCCAUGUAGGCCGAAAAAGGGGGGAAGGAAAGGGGAGAAGGGAGAAAGGAAGGGAAGGGAUUCGGCCUCCCCCUUCCUUCUCUCCUCCCUCCUCCUUCCUUCCCCCUCCGGAUGAAUAUGGAAGGGGGGAGGCCGAAUUGGGAGGCGCCCAAGUAGGAGUCCUCCUACUUGGGGCGCCCCCUUGGAUGCCUCUUCUCCCCUCCAACCUAUAUAUAUGAGGGGGAGCACCACUAGAACAGACAUCAUUGAUUCCUAGCCAUGUGCGGCGCCUCCCUCCACAGUUUACGCCUCUAGUCAUAUUCAUGUAGUGCUUAGGCAAAGCCCUGCGCGGAUCACUUCACCAUCACCGUCACCACGCCAUCAUGCUGACGCAACUCUCCCUCGAAACUUUGCUGGAUCAAGAGUUCAAGGGACGUCAUCGAGCUGUGUAUAGAACUCAGAGGUGCCGUACGUUCGGUGCUUGAUCGGUCGGAACGAGAAGAAGUUCAACUACAUCAACCGCGUUAACAAAUGCUUCCACUUUCGGUCUACAAGGGUACAUGGACACACUCUUCCCCUCUCGUUUCUAUGCAUCUCCUGGAUAGAUCUUGAGUGAGCGUAGGACUUUUUUUGAAAUUGCAUGCUAUGUUUCCCAACAGUGGCAUCCAAGCCAGGUCUAUGCGUAGAUGAUAUGCACGAGUAGAACACAAAGAGUUGUGGGCAGUGAUCGUCAUACUGCUUACCACCAAUGUCUUAUUUUGAUUCAGCGGUAUUGCUGGAUGAAGCGGCCCGAACCAACCUUACAUGACCACGUUCAUGAGAUCGGUUCUAUCGACGGACAUGCAACUAGUUUUGCAUAAAGGUGGCUGGCGGUUGUCUGUUUCUCCAACUUUAGUUGAAUCGAAUUUGACCGCGUCCGGUCCUUGUUGAAGGUUAAAACAACAAACUUGAUAAAUCACCGUUAUGGCUUUGUGCCGUAGGUAAGAACAGUUCUUGCUAGAAGUCCAUAGCAGCCACGUAAAACUUGCAACAACAAAGUAGAGGAUGUCUAACUUGUUUUUGCAGGGCAUGUUGUGAUGUGAUAUGGUCAAGACAUGAUGCAAUAUACGUUGUUGUAUGAGAUGAUCAUGCUUUAUAAAAGUUAUGAACAGCUGGCAGGAGCCUUAUGGUUGUCGCUUUAUUGUAUGAAAUGCAAAUGCCAUGUAAUUGCUUUACUUCAUCACUAAGCGGUAGCGAUAGUUGUAGAAGCAAUAGUUGGCGAGACGACCAUGACGCUACGAUGGAGAUCAAGGUGUCGAGCCGGUGAUGAUGGAGAUCAUGAUGUUGCUUUGGAGAUGGAGAUCAAAAGCACAAGAUGAUGAUGGCCAUAUCAUGUCACGUAUUUUGAUUGCAUGUGAUGUUUAUCUUUAUGCAUCUUAUUUUCUUUAGUACGGCGGUAGCAUUACAAGAUGACCCCUUAACUAUAUUUCAAGGUAUAAGUGUUCUCCCCGAGUAUGCACCGUUGCGAAAGUACUUCGUGAUGAGACACCACGUGAUGAUCGGGUGUGAUAGGCUCUACGUUCACAUACAACGGGUGCAAGCCAGUUUUGCACAUGCGGAAUACUCGGGUUAAACUUGAUGAGCCUAGCAUGUACAGACAUGGCCUCGGAACACUGGAGACCGAAAGGUCGAACGUGAAUCAUAUAGUAGAUAUGAUCAACAUAGAGAUGUUGACCAUUGAAGACUACUCCAUCUCACGUGAUGGUCAGACAUUGUUUAGUUGAUUUGGAUCAUGUGAUCAUUUAGAUGACUCGAGGGAUGUCUAUCUAAGUGGGAGUUCUUAAGUAAUAUGAUUAAUUGAACUUAAUUUAUCAUGAACUUAGUCCUGUUAGUAUUUGCAUAUCUAUGUUGUAGAUCAAUAGCUCGCGUAUAGAUCCCCUAUUUUAUUUUUUGAUAUGUUCCUAGAGAAAACUAAGUUGAAAGAUGAUAGUAGCAAUGAUACGGACUAGGUCCAUGAUCUGAGGAUUAUCCUCAUUGCUGCACAGAAGAAUUUUGUCCUUGAUGCACCGCUAGGUGACAAACCUAUUGCAGGAGCAGAUGCAGACGUUAUGAACAUUUGACAAGCUCGGUAUGAUGACUACUUGAUAGUUUAGUGCACCAUGCUUUACGACUUAGAACCGAGACUUCAAAAAUGUUUUAAACGCCAUGGAGCAUAUUGAUAACCCACAAGUAUAGGGGAUCACAACAGUUUUUGAGGGUAGAGUAUUCAACCCAAAUUUAUUGAUUUGACACAAGGGGAGCCAAAGAAUAUUCUCAAGUAUUAGCAGUUGAGUUGUCAAUUCAACCACACCUGGAUAACUUAGUAUCUGCAGCAAAGUGUUUAGUAGAAAAGUAGUAUGGAAGUAACAGUAGCAGUAGCAAAAGUAACAGUUGUAGUUUUGUAGUAAUUGUAACAGUGGCGACGAUAAAGUAACUAAGCAAAGAGCAAUAUGUGAAAAUCUCGUAGGCAUUGGAUCAGUGAUGGAUAAUUAUGUUGGAUGCGAUUCCUCAUGUAAUAGUUAUAACUAGGGUGACAUAGAACUAGCUCUAGUUCAUCAAUGUAAUGUAGGCAUGUAUUCCGAAUAUAGUCAUACGUGCUUAUGGAAAAGAACUUGCAUGACAUCUUUUGUCCUACCAGCGGGGUCCUAUUGGAAACUAAGGGAUAUUAAGGCCUCCUUUUAAUAGAGUACCGGACCAAAGCAUUAACACUUAGUGAAUACAUGAACUCCUCAAACUACGGUCAUCACCGGUAAGUAUCGCGAUUAUUGUCACUUCGGGGUUAACGGAUCAUAACACAUAAUAGGUGACUAUAGACUUGCAAGAUAGGAUCAAGAACUCACAUAUAUUCAUGAAAACAUAAUAGGUUUAGAUAUGAAAUCAUGGCACUCGGGCCCUAGUGACAAGCAUUAAGCAUAGCAAAGUCAUAACAACAUCAACCUCAGAACAUAGUGGAUACUAGGGAUCAAACCCUAACAAAACUAACUCAAUUACAUGGUAAAUCUCAUCCAACCACCGUCUAGCAAGCCUACGAUGGAAUUACUCACGCACGGCGGUGAGCAUCAUGAAAUUGGUGAUGGAGGAUGGUUGAUGAUGAUGACAACGACGAAUCCUCCUCUCCGGAGCCCCGAACGGACUCCAUAUCAUCCCUCCCGAGAGAGAUUAGGGCUUGGCGGCGGCUCUGUAUCGUAAAACGCGAUGAAUAUUUCUCUCUAAUUUUUUUCUCCCCAAACGUGAAUAUAUGGAGUUGGAGUUGAGGUCGUUGGAGCUUCAGGGUGCCCACGAGGCAGGGGGCGCGCCCUAGGGGGGCACCCUUGUGGACAGGGUGUGGGCCCCCUGACGUUGAUUCUUUCGCCAAUAUUUUUUAUUAAAUCCAAAAAGUUGCUCCGUGGAUUUUCAGGUCAUUCCGAGAACUUCUAUUUUUGCACAAAAAUAACACCAUGGUAGUUCUGCUGAAAACAACGUCAGUCCGGGUUAGUUCCAUUGAAAUCAUGCAAGUUAGAGUCCAAAACAAGGGCAAAAGUGUUUGGAAAAGUAGAUACAAUGGAGACGUAUCAACUCACCCAAGCUUAAACCCUUGCUUGUCCUCAAGCAAUUCAGUUGACAAACUGAAAGUGAUAAAGAAAAACUUUUACAAACUCUGUUUGCUCUUGUUGUUGCAAAUAUGUAAAGUCAGCAUUCAAGUUUUCAGCAAAGAUUAUGAACUAACCAUAUUCACAAUAACACUUAAAUCUCAUGUCUACUCAUAUCAAUGGCAUAAUCAGCUAGCGAGCGAUAAUAAUAAAUCUCGGAUGACAACACUUUCUCAAAACAAUCAUAAUAUGAUAUAACAAGAUGGUAUUUCGCUAGCCCUUUCUGAGACCGCAAAACAUAAAUGCAGAGCACCUUUAAAGAUCAAGGACUGACUAAACAUUGUAAUUCAUGGUAAAAGAGAUCCAGUCAUAGUCACACCCAAUAUAAAUUAAUAAUAAUGCAUGCAAAUGACAGCGGUGCUCUCCAGCGGGUGCUUUUUAAUAAGAGGGUGAUGACUCAACAUAAAAGUACAUAGAUAGGCCCUUCGCAGAGGGAAGUAGGGAUUUGUGGAGGUGCCAGAGCUCGAUUUUGAAAUAGAGAUAAAUAAUAUUUUGAGCGGUAUACUUUCACUGUCAACAUAACAACCAAGAGAUCUCGAUAUGUUCCAUGCUACACACAUCAUAGGCGGUUCCCAAACAGAAUGGUAAAGUUUAUACUCCCCCACCACCAACAAGCAUCAAUCCAUGGCUUGCCCGAAACAACGGGUGCCUCCAACUAACAACAAUUCCGGGGGAGUUUUGUUUGCAAUUAUUUUGAUUUGAUUUGAGCAUGGGACUGGGCAUCCCGGUGACCAGCCAUUUUCUCGUGAGUGAGGAGCGGAGUCCACUCCUCUUGAGAAUAACCCGCCUAGCAUGGAAGAUACAGACAACCCUAGUUGAUACAUGAUCUGUUCGAGCAUACAAAACAGAAUUUCAUUUAAAUGUUUGGAGUUUGGCACAUACAAAUUUACUUGGAACGGCAGGUAGAUACCGCAUAUAAGAAGGUAUGGUGGACUCAUAUGGGAUAACUUUGGGGUUUAUGGAUUUUGGAUGCACAAGCAGUAUUCCCGCUUAGUACAAGUGAAGGAUAGAAAGAGACUGGGAAGCGACCAACUAGAGAGCGACAACAGUCAUGAACAUGCAUUAAAAUUAAUCAACACUGAGUGCAAGCAUGAGUAGGAUAUAAUCCACCAUGAACGUAAAUAUCGUGAAGGCUAUGUUGAUUUUGUUUCAACUACAUGCGUAAACAUGUGCCAAGUCAAGUCACUUGAAUCAUUCAAAGGAGGAUACCACCCUAUCAUACCACAUCACAACCAUUUUAAUAGCAUGUUGGCACGCAAGGUUAACCAUUAUAAGCUCCUAGCUAUUAAGCAUGGCAUAAGAAACUAUAAUCUCUAAUUGUCAUUGAUGUUUAUUCAUAAUAGGCUGAAUCAGGAACGAUGAACUAAUCAUAUUUACAAAAACAAGAUAGGUCGAGUUCAUACCAGCUUCUCUCAUCUGAAUCAGUCCAUCAUAUAUCGUCAUUAUUGCCUUUCACUUGCACGACCGAACGGUGUGGAUAAUAAUAAUAGUGCACGUGCAUUGGACUAAGCUGGAAUCUGCAAGCAUUCAAUUCAAGGGAGAAGACAAGGUAAUAUGGGCUCUUGGUUAAAUCAACAAUAAUGCAUAGGAGAGCCACUCAACAUUUUCAUGGUCUUCUCCUCUCGACCCCCAAAGAAAAGAAAUAAAACUAUUUACACGGGAAAGCUCGCAACAAGUAAAAUAAGAACGAGAAAUCUUUUGGGGUUUUCUUUUAAUUAUACUACUACAAGCAUGGAAAGUAAACUAGCUAAAUGCUACAACUAUUUUUUUUUGUUUUUUCUUAAGGUUGUUCAAACACACAAGAAGAAAGUAAGAAAAAUAAAAUAAACUAGCAUGGAUAGUACAAUGAAAAAGUAUGAGCACUGACAACUAGAAUGAGUGUGUGAACAUGAAUGUAAUGUCAGUGAGAAAUACGUACUCCCCCAAGCUUAGGCUUUUGGCCUAAGUUGGUCCAUGCCCAUGGAUGGCCUGGCGGAUAUCCGAAGUUGUAACCGGGGUCUUACUGAGAUGCAGCAACCAUUGCCUCACGAGCUGCAGCCUGGAGGCGAGCUGCUUCCGUCCUCCUCUCAUACUCGUUCACCUCCUCCCUCAUGAUAACAUAUCUUCCUUUUGCCUGAUAGUCAAAGAAGGAGGGAGCAGGGAGAGUAAUAUGGACAGCGCGACGUCUGUCAAAGAUUAGUCGAUACUGGAGGAUUUUUUCAUUCCUCUCAAGAAAAUGAUGAUUAACCAUGGCAUUAUAAUCUAAAUAAGCGGGAGGCAACUCCAUAUCAUUUUCAUGUGCGGGUAUACCAAGAUAAUUAGCCACACGGGUUGCAUAAAUCCCUCCAAACAAGUCUCCAUCUAAACCAUUAUUAUGCAACCUACGUGCAACAAUUGCCCCCAAGUUAUAUUGUUUAUCACCUAAUACAACACUCUUGAGAACGCUAAGAUCCGGAACACACAUGUGACAAGCUUCAUCCUUACCAUUUAUACAUCUACCUAUAAAGAGAGCAAAAUAAUGUAUGGCAGGAAAAUGAAUGCUCCCUAUGGUAGCUUGUGCUAUUUCUCUAGAUUCCCCCAUAGUGAUACUAGCAAGAAAGUCUUUAUAUUCAGAUUUACGAGGUUCAUUGACACUACCCCAUUGCGGGAGUUUACAGGCAGUAGUAAAAUCUUCUAAGUCCAUGGUAUAAGAUUUAUCAUAAAGAUCAAACAUGACAUUGUGAGAAUUACGCGAAGAUGUAAAUUUAAACCUUCUCACAAAGGAAUCAGUUAAAUAGUAGUAUUGAGGGCACUUAUCUUGCAUGAAGUCCUCGAGGUCAGCAUUACGGACAUACGCAUCAAAUUCAUCCUUAAUGCCUGCUCUGACCAUAAACUCCUCUGACGGCCAUUCGCAAGGCCGCACGUAAGCUUCCCUCGGUGGUUCAUCGUCCUGCUCACGUAUUGCGAGCCUGGGUCCUUGCUUCGUUGAAGAACCACCUUGUUACAUUUUCCUAGACAUAUUUCUUCCUCUGAAAAAUUUCUGAAAUUUCUAGUAACUCGAAAUAAAAGUGAACCGAAUUCAACAAAAUUGAUAGCAACUACUCCCACAAGUGCCUAGAGACUAUAUCAUGCAUUAGAACUACUUGGGAGCAUAUAAAUUUGACAUGCAAGCUCAAGAACAGGGUCACCUAGGCAGCAAAAAUUUGCAAUGAAUAAAGCACUAGAACAUAAACUAAUUGGGCCAUUGGAGGAGUCACAUACCAAAGAACAAUCCCCCAAAGUAGUUUUGUGAAUGGAGCUUUGAGCAAGGAGAUCGAAAAUGGUAGCAAGAUGAGCUAGAACUCGUGCUUGAGCUGGAUAGUGAUUUUUUUGGGAGGAAGAAGAAGAGUAUGGGUGCAGGAAUAAGUGGAGGGGGCCCACCAUGGGCCCACGAGGCAGGGGGCGUGCCCAGGGGGGUAGGGCGCGCCCCUGACCCUCGUGGCCAAGUGCUUGCUCCCCCUGUUGUGUUCUCAGUGCCAGAUAUUCUCAAAUAUUUCAGAAAAAUCAUAUUUAAUUUGCAGGGCAUUUGGAGAACUUUUAUUUCGAGGGUAUUUUUUAUUGCAUGGAUAAUUCAGAAAAUUAGACAGAAAAUACUAUUUUUGCUUUAUUUAAUCUAAAUAACAGAAAUUAAAAAGAGGGUACAAAAGGUUGUGCUUUCUAACUUCAUCCAUCUCAUGAUCAUUAAAAGGAAUCCACUAACAAGGUUGAUCAAGUCUUGUUACCGAACUCAUUCCGAAUAACAUGGAACCGGAGAAAUUUCGAAUAGCACUAGGUUACCUCAACGGGGAUAUGUACAUCCCCAAUAAUAAGAAUAUCAUAUUUCUUCUUGAUAGUAGGAAGAGGAAAUUCAAAACCUCCAAUAAUAAUUGAUGGAAUUUUUCCAAUAGAAUUGAUACUGUGAACUUGAGGUUGUUUCCUCCGAAAGUGUACCGUAUGCUUAUUACCAUUAACAUGAAAAGUGACAUUUCCUUUGUUGCAAUCAAUAACAGCCCCUACAAUAUUCAAAAAGGGUCUACCAAGGAUAAUCGACAUACUAUCAUCCUCGGUAAUAUCAAGAAUAACCAAGUUUUUUAAGAUAGUAACGUUUGCAACCACAAUAGGCACAUCCUCACAAGUACCGACAGGUAUAGCGGUUGAUUUAUCAGCCAUUUGCAAAGAUAUUUCAGUCGGUGUCAACUUAUUCAAUUCAAGUCUACGAUAUAAAGAGAGAGGCACAACACUAACACCGGCUCCAAGAUCACAUAAAGCAGUUUUAACAUAGUUUCUUUUAAUGGAGCAUGGUAUAGUUGGUAUUCCUGGAUCUCCAAGUUUCUUUGGUAUUCCACCUUUAAAGGUAUAAUUAGCAAGCAUGGUGGAAAUUUCAGCUUCAGGUAUCUUUCUUUUAUUUGUAAUAAUAUUUUUCAUGUACUUAGCAUAAGGAUUCACUUUAAGCAUAUCAGCUAAACGCAUACGCAAAAAGAUAGGUCUAAUCAUUUUAGCAAAGCACUCAAAAUCCUCAUCAUCCUUUUUCUUCGAUGGCUUAGAAGGAAAAGGCAUGGUUUUCUGAACCCAUGGUUCUCUUUCCUUACCGUGCUUCCUAGCAACAAAGUCUCUCUUAUCAUAACAAUGAUUCUUUGAUUGUGAGUUAUCAAGAUCAACAUCAGGUUCAAUCUCUACAUCAUCAUUAUUGCUAGGUUUAGCAUCAACAUGAACAUUAUCAUUAACAUUAUUACUAGGUUCAUGUUCAUCACCUGAUUGUGUCUCAGCAUCAUAAAUGGAAAUAUCAUUGGGAUUCUCAAGUGUGUCUACAACAGGUUCACUAGAAGCAUGCAAAGUCCUAUCAUCUUUAUUUUUCUUCUUUUUAGAAGGACUAGGUGCAUGAACAUUAUUUCUCUGAGAAUCUUGCUCAAUUCUCUUAGGGUGGCCCUAAGGAUACAAAGGUUCCUGAGUCAUUUUACCCGUUCUAGUUGCUACUCUAACAGCAAAAUCAUGUUUAUUAUUAUAUUCAUUGAGCAAAUCAUUCUGAUCCUUAAGUACUUGUUCUACUUGAGUGGUAACCAUAGAAGCAUGUUUACUAAUGAGUUUAAGUUCAUUCUUAACUCUAUACAUAUAAUCACUCAAGUGUCCAAUCAUAUAAGCAUUACUCUUCAAUUGUCUACCAACAUAAGCAUUGAAAUUUUCUUGUCUAGCCAUAAAGUCAUCAAAUUCAUCCAAACAUUGGCUAGCAAACUUAGUAGACAGGAUUUCAACUUUAUCAUAUCUAUAGAGAGAACUUACCUUUACUAGCUGUGUCGGGUUAUCAAGACCAUGUAUUUCUUCGAUAGGUGGUAUAUUAAGGCCAUGUAUUUCUUCAACAGGAGGUAAAUUCUUAACAUCUUCAACUUUAAUACCUUUCUCUUUCAUAGAUUUCUUUGCCUCUUGCAUAUCUUCAGGACUGAAAAAUAGAACACUUCUUUUGUUCGGAGUUGGCUUAGGAGUUGGUUCGGGAAGUGUCUAAUUAUUUUCAUUAGUCAACAUAUUAUUCAAUAGCAAUUUAGCUUGAUCGAUUGUUCUUUUCCUGAAAACACAACCAGCACAACUAUCCAGGUGGUCUCUGGAAGCAUCGGUUAGUCCAUUAUAAAAGAUAUCAAGUAUUUCAUUUUUCUUAAGAGGAUGAUCUGGCAAAGCAUUAAGUAAUCAGAGAAGCCUCCCCCAAGCUUGUGGGAGACUCUCUUUUUCAAUUUGCACAAAAUUAUACCAUCAAGGGAGCUUGUUUCUUAUGAGCAGGGAAAUAUUUAGCAGAGAAGUAGUAAAUCAUAUCCUGGGGACUACACACACAACCAAGAUCAAGAGAAUUAAACCAAGUUUUAGCAUCACCCUUUAAUGAGAACAAAAAUAUCUUAAGGAUAUAGUAGUAGCAAGAUUUCUCAUCAUUAGUGAACAGGGUGGCUAUAUCAUUCAAUUUAGUAAGAUGUGCCAGAACAGUUUCAGAUUCAUUGCCAUAAAAAGGAUCAGAUUCAACCAAAGUAAUUAUCUCAGGGUCGAUAGAGAAAUCAUAAUCCUUAUCGGUAACACAAAUAGGUGACGUAGCAAAAGUAGGGUCAUAUUUCAUUCUAGCAUUCAGAGACUUCUAUUUCAGCUUAGCUAAUAACUUCAUAAGAUCAGAUCUAUCAUUACAAGCAAGAAAAUCUCUAGCAGUUUCUGUUGGGGAACAUAGUAAUUUCAAAAAAAAUUCCUACGCACAUGCAAGAUCAUGGUGAUGCAUAGCAACGAGAGGGGAGAGUGUGUCCACGUACCCUCGUAGACCGUAAGCGGAAGCGUUAUGACAACGCGGUUGAUGUAGUCGUACGUCUUCACGAUCCGACCGAUCCAAGUACCGAACGUACGACACAUCCGAGUUCAGCACACGUUCAGCUCGAUGACGAUCCCCGGACUCCGAUCCAGCAAAGUGUCAACGAUAUGACCGAGGUGGAAUAUGGUGGACGGGGGCACCGCACACGGCUAAGGAACGAUCACGUAGAUGAACUUGUGUGUCAUGGGGUGUCCCCCUGCCCCCGUAUAUAAAGGAGCAAGGGGGAGGGGGCGGCCGGCCAAGGGAGGGCGUGCCAGGGAGGAGUCCUACUCCCACCGGGAGUAGGACUCCCUCCUUUCCUAGUCCAACUAGGAGAGGGGAAGGAAGGGAAGGAGAAGGAGAAGGGAGGAGAGGGAGGAAAAGGAGGAAAGGGGGGCCGGCCCCCUAGUCCAAUUCGGUUUGGGCUAGGGGGCAGCGUGCCCUGCCUCCUCUCUUCCACCACUUGGCCCAUGAAGCCCAUUGCUUCUUCCUCGUAUUCCCGUAACUCCCUGGUACCCCCGAAAAUACCCGAAUCACUCGGAACCUUUCCGAACUCCGAAUAUAGUCGUCCAAUAUAUCAAUCUUUACGUCUCGACCAUUUUGAGACUCCUCGCCAUGUCCCCGAUCUCAUACGGGACUCCGAACUCCUUCGGUACAUCAAAACUCAUAAACUCAUAAUAUAACUGUCAUCGAAACCUUAAGCGUGCGGACCCUACGGGUUCGAGAACUAUGUAGACAUGACCCAGAACUAUUCUUGGUCAAUAACCAAUAGCGGAACCUGGAUGCUCAUAUUGGCUCCUACAUAUUCUACGAAGAUCUUUAUCGGUCAAACCGCAUAACAACAUACGUUGUUCCCUUUGUCAUCGGUAUGUUACUUGCCCGAGAUUCGAUCGUCGGUAUCCAAUACCUAGUUCAAUCUUGUUACCGGCAAGUCUCUUUACUCGUUACAUAAUGCAUCAUCCCGCAACUAACUCAUUAGUCACAUUGCUUGCAAGGCUUAUAGUGAUGUGCAUUACCGAGAGGGCCCAGAGAUACCUCUCCGACAAUCGGAGUGACAAAACCUAAUCUCGAAAUACGCCAACCCAACAUGUACCUUUGGAGACACCUGUAGUACUCCUUUAUAAUCACCCAGUUACGUUGUGACGUUUGGUAGCACCCAAAGUGUUCCUCCGGUAAACGGGAGUUGCAUAAUCUCAUAGUUACAAGAACAUGUAUAAGUCAUGAAGAAAGCAAUAACAACAUACUAAACGAUCAAGUGCUAGGCUAACGGAAUGGGUCAUGUCAAUCACAUCAUUCUCCUAAUGAUGUGAUCCCAUUAAUCAAAUGACAACACAUGUCUACUGUUAGGAAACAUGACCAUCUUUGAUUAAUGAGCUAGUCAAGUAGAGGCAUACUAGUGACUAUAUGUUUGUCUAUGUAUUCACACAUGUAUCAUGUUUCCGGUUAAUACAAUUCUAGCAUGAAUAAUAAACAUUUAUCAUGAAAUAAGGAAAUAAAUAAUAACUUUAUUAUUGCCUCUAGGGCAUAUUUCCUUCAGUUUCUUCAUCCAUAACAUAACCCUCAGGAACAACAGACAAUUCAUAUCUAGGGGGAGAAUGUUCAUCAUCACUUUCAUCAGUCAGUUUCGAUUAUUUCAUUCUCUCUAGCACUAGCAAGUUGUUCAUCAAUAAAUUCACCUAAUGGCACAGUAGUAUCAAGAACAGAAGUAGUUUCAUCAUAAGUAUCAUGCAUAGCAGAAGUGGCAUCAUCAAUAACAUGCGACAUAUCAGAAUUAAUAGCAGAAGCUGGUUUAGGUGUCGCAAGCUUACUCAUAACAGAUGUAGAAUCAAGUGCAGAGCUAGAUGGCAGUUCCUUACCUCCCCUCGUAGUUGAGGGAUAAAUCUUAGUUCUUUCGUCUUUCAAGUUCCUCAUAGUGAUCAGCAGAUAUAAAUUCCAAGUGACUCAAAGAAUAGAGCUAUGCUCCCCGGCAACGGUGCCAGAAAAUAGUCUUGAUAACCCACAAGUAUAGGGGAUCGCAAUAGUUUUCGAGGGUAGAGUAUUCAACCCAAAUUUAUUGAUUUGACACAAGGGGAGCCAAAGAAUAUUCUCAAGUAUUAGCAGUUGAGUUGUCAAUUCAACCACACCUGGAUAACUUAGUAUCUGCAGCAAAGUGUUUAGUAGCAAAGUAGUAUGGAAGUAACAGUAAUAGUGGCAAAAGUAACAGUAGCAGUUUCGUAGUAAUUGUAAUAGUGGCAAUAGUAAAGUAACUAAGCAAAGAGCAAUAUGUGAAAAUCUUGUAGGCAUUGGAUUAGUGAUGGAUAAUUAUGUCGGAUGCGAUUCCUCAUGUAAUAGUUAUAACAUAGGGUGACGCAGAACUAGCUCGAGUUCAUCAAUGUAAUGUAGGCAUGUAUUCCAAAUAUAGUCAUGCGUGCUUAUGGAAAAUAACUUGCAUGACAUCUUUUGUCCUACCCUCCCGUGGCAGCGGGGUCCUAUUGGAAACUAAGGGAUAUUAAGGCCUCCUUUUAAUAGAGUACCGAACCAAAGCAUUAACACUUAGUGAAUACAUGAACUCCUCAAACUACGGUCAUCACCGGUAAGUAUCCCGAUUAUUGUCACUUCAGGUUUAACGGAUCAUAAAACAUAAUAGGUGACUAUAGACUUGCAAGAUAGGAUCAAGAACUCACAUAUAUUCAUGAAAAAAAUAAUAGGUUCAGAUAUGAAAUCAUGGCACUCGGGCCCUAGUGACAAGCAUUAAGCAUAGCAAAGUCAUAGCAACAUCAAUCUUAGAACAUAGUGGAUACUAGGGAUCAAACCCUAACAAAACUAACUCAAUUACAUGGUAAAUCUCAUCCAACCCAUCACCGUCCAGCAAGCCUACGAUGGAAUCACUCACGCACGGCGGUGAGCAUCAUGAAAUUGGUGAUGGAGGAUGGUUGAUGAUGAUGACAACGACGAAUCCCCAUCUCCGGAGCCUCGAACAGACUCCAGAUCAGCCCUCCCGAGAGAGAUUAGGGCUUGGCGGCGGCUCCGUAUCGUAAAAUGCGAUGAAUCUUUCUCUCUGAUUUUUUUCUCCCCUAACGUGAAUAUAUGGAGUUGGAGUGGAGGUCGGUGGAGCUUCAGGGGGCCCACGAGGCAGGGGGGUGCGCCCUAGGGGGGGCCCACCCUCAUGGACAGGGUGUGGGCCCCCUGACGUUGAUUCUUUUGCCAAUAUUUUUUAUUAAAUCCAAAAAGUUGCUCCGUGGAUUUUUAGGUCAUUCCGAGAACUUCUUUCUGCACAAAAAUAACACCAUGGCAGUUCUGCUGAAAACAACGUAAGUCCAGGUUAGUUCCAUUCAAAUCAUGCAAGUUAGAGUACAAAACAAGGGCAAAAGUGUUUGGAAAAGUAGAUACGACGAAGACGUAUCACAUAUGAGAUGUUCCAAGAGCUGAAAAUGAUAUUUCAGACUCAUGCCCGUGUUAAGAGGUAUGAGACCUCUGACAAGUACUUUUCCUACAAGAUGGAGGAGAAUAGCUAAGAAAGUGAGCAUGUGUUCAGAAUGUCUGGGGUACUACAAUCGCUUGAAUCAAGUGGGAGUUAAUCUUCUAGAUAAGAUAGUGAUUGACAGAGUUCUCUAGUCACUAUCACCAAGUUACUAGAACUUCGUGAUGAACUAUAAUAUGCAAGGGAUAACGAAAAUGAUUCCCAAGCUCUUCGCGAUGCUGAAAUCGGUGAAGGUAGAAAUCAAGAAAUAGCAUCAAGUGUUGAUGGUUAACAAGACCACUAGUUUCAAGAAAAAAGGCAAGGGAAAGAAAGGGAACUUCAAGAAGAAUGGCAAGCAAGUUGCCACUCCCGUGAAGAAGCCCAAAGCUAGACACAAACCUGAAAUUGAGUGCUUCUACUGCAAAGGAAAUGGUCACUGGAAGCAGAACUGCCCCAAAAACUUGGCAGAUAAGAAGGAUGGCAAAGUGACCAAAGGUAUAUUUGAUAUACAUGUUAUUGAUGUGUACUUUACUAGUAUUCACAGUAGCCCCUGCGUAUUUGAUACCGGUUCAGUGGCUAAGAUUUGUAACUCGAAAUAGGAGUUGCAAAAUGAACAGAUACUAGUUAAGGCGAGGUGACGAUGUGUGUUGGAAGUGAUUCCAAGGUUUAUAAGAUCACCAUAGCACACUCCCUUUACCUUCGGGAUUAGUGUUGAACCUAAAAUCAAUGUUAUUUGGUGUUUGCAUUGAGCAUGAAUAUGAUUGGAUCAUGUUUAUUGCAAUACAGUUAUUCAUUUAAGUCAAAGAAUAAUUGUUGUUCUAUUUACAUGAAUAAAACCUUCUAUGGUCAUACACCCAAUAUAAAUAGUUUAUUGAAUCUCAAUCGUAGUGGUACACAUAUUCAUUAUAUUGAUGCCAAAAGAUGCAAAGUUGAUAAUGAUAGUGUAUCAUACUUGUGGCACUGCCAUUUUUGAUCAUACUGGUGUAAAGCGCAUGAAGAACUCCAUGCGGAUGGACUUUUGGAAUCACUUGAUUAUGAAUCAUUUGAUGCUUGCGAACCAUGCCUCAUGGGCAAGAUGACUAAAACUCCGUUCUCCAGAACAAUGGAGUGAGCUAAUGACUUAUUGGAAAUAAUACAUUACCGAUGUAUGCGGUCCGAUAAGUGUUGAGGCACGUGGCUGUUAUCAUUAUUUUCUAACCUUCAUAGAUGAUUUGAGUAGGUAUGGGUAUAUCUACUUGAUGAAAUACAAGUCUGAAACAUUUCAAAAGUUCAAAGAAUGUCAAAGUGAAGUAGAAAAUCAUCGUAAUAAGAAAAUAAAGUCUCUACGAUCUGAUCGCGGAGGCAAAUAUUUGAGUUACGAGUUUGGCCUUCAUUUAAAACAAUGUGGAAUAGUUUCACAAAUCAUGCCACUUGGAACACCACAGUGUAAUGGUGUGUUCGAACGUCGUAACCAUACUUUAUUAGAUAUGGUGCGAUCUAUGAUGUCUCUUACCGAUUUACCACUAUCGUUUUGGGGUUAUGCUUUAGAGACAGUUGCAUUCAUGUUAAAUAGGGCAUCGUCUAAAUCUGUUGAGACGACACCAUAUGAACUGUGGUUUGUCAAGAAACCUAAGCUGUCGUUUCUUAAAGUUUGGGGUUGUGACACUUAUGUCAAAAGGCUUCAGCCUGAUAAGCUCGAACCCAAAUCGGAGAAGUGCAUCUUCAUAGGAUACCCUAAGGAAACAAUUGGGUACACCUUCUGCCAUAGAUCCAAAGGCAAGAUCUUUAGUUACCAAGAAUGGAAUAUUUCUAGAGAAGGAGUUUCUCUCGAAAGAAGUGAGUGGGAGGAAAGUAGAACUUGAUGAGGUAGUUGUACCUUCUCUCAAUUUGGAAAGUAGCACAUCAGAGAAAUCUGUUCCCGUGAUGCCUACACCAACUAGAGAGGAAGUUAAUGAUGAUGAUCAUGAAACUUCAGAUCAAGAUACUAUUAGACCUCGUAGGUCGAACAUAGCACGUUCCGCACUAGUGUGGUAUGGUAAUCCUGUUCUGGAAGUCAUGUUACUAGACCAUGACGAACCUACGAACUAUGAAGAAGCUAUGAUGAGGCCAGAUUCCGAUAAAUGGCUUGAGGCCAUGAAAUCUGAUAUACGAUCCAUAUAUAAGAACAAAGUGUGGAGUUUGGUGGACUUGCCCGAUGAUCGACAAGCCAUUGACAAAUAAAUGGAUCUUCAAGAGGAAGACGGACGCUGAUGGUAGUGUUACUAUCUACAAAGCUUGAAUUUUCACAAAAGGUUUUCGACAAGUUCAAGGUGUUGACUACGAUAAGAUUUUCUCACUCAUAUCGAUGCUUAAGUCUGUUCGAAUCAUGUUAGCAAUUGCCGCAUUUAAUGAAAUCUGGCAAAUGGAUAUCAAAACUGCAUUCCUUAAUGGAUUUAUUAAAGAAGAGUUGUAUAUGAUACAACUAGAAGGUUUUGUCAAUCCUAAAGGUGCUAACAAAAUGUGCAAGCCCCAGCGAUCCAUCUAUGGACUCGUGCAAGCAUCUCGGAGUUGGAAUAUACGCUUUGAUGAGUUGAUCAAAGCAUAUAGUUUUAUACAGACUUGCGGUGAAGCCUGUAUUUACAAGAAAGUGAGUGGAGCACUACAACCUUUCUGAUAAGUAUAUGUGAAUGACAUAUUGUUGAUCGGAAAUGAUGUAGAAUUUUCUGGAAAGGAUAAAGGAGUGUUUGAAAGAAGUUUUUCAAAGAAAGACCUCGGUGAAGCUGCUUAUAUAUUGGGCAUCUAGAUCUAUAGAGAUAGAUCAAGACGCUUGAUAAAUCCUUUGAUGAGUACAUACCUUGAUAAAUUUUUGAAGGAGUUCAAAAUGGAUUAGUCAAAGAAGGAGUUCUUGCCUGAGUUGUAAGGUAUGAAGUUGAGUAAGACUCAAAACCCGACCACGACAGAAGAUAGAGAGAGAGAAUGAAAGUCAUUCCCUAUGCCUCAACCAUAGGUUCUAUAAAGUAUGCCAUGAUGUAAACCAAACCUAUUGUGUACCUUGCCAUGAGUUUGGCAAGGGGGUACGAUAGUGAUCCAGGAGUAGAUCACUGGACAAUGGUCAAAAUUAUCCUUAGGUACCUAAAGAGGACUAAGGAAAUGUUUCUCGGUUAUGGAGGUGACAAAGAGUUUGUUGUAAAGGGUUACGUUGAUGCAAGCUUUGAAAUUGAUCCAAAUGACUCUGAGUCUCAAUCUGGAUACAUAUUGAAAGUGGGAGCAAUUAGCUAAAGUAGCUCCGUCCAGAGCAUUGUAGACAUAGAAAUUUGCAAAAUACAUAAGGAUCUGAAUGUGGCAGACCCGUUGAUUAAACUUCUCUCACAAGCAAAACAUGAUCACACCUUAGUACUCUUUGGGUGUUCAUCACAUUUUGAUGUGAACUAGAUUAUUGACUCUAGUAAACCCUUUCGGUGUUGGUCACAUGGCGAUGUGAACUAUGGGUGUUAAUCACAUAAUGAUGUGAUCUAUUGGUGUUAAAUCACAUGGCGAUGUGAACUAGAUUAUUGACUCUAGUGCAAGGGGGAGACUGAAGGAAAUAUGCCCUAGAGGCAAUAAUAAAGUUGUUAUUUUAUAUUUCCUUAUUCAUGAUAAAUGUGUAUUAUUCAUGCUAUAAUUGUAUUAACCGGAAACUUGAUACAUGUGUGGAUACAUAGACAAAACACCAUGUCCCUAGUAUGUCUCUACUUGACUAGCUCGUUAAUCAAAGAUGGUUAAGUUUUCUAGCCAUAGACAUGUGUUGUCAUUUGAUGAACGGGAUCACAUCAUUAGGAGAAUGAUGUGAUGGACAAGACCCAUCCAUUAGCUUAGCAUAAUGAUCGUUCAGUUUUAUUGCUACUGCUUUCUUCAUGUCAAAUACAUAUUGCUCCGACUAUGAGAUUAUGCAACUCCCGGAUACCGGAGGAUUGCCUUGUGUGCUAUCAAACAUCGCAACGUAACUGUGUGAUUAUAAAGAUGCUCUACAGGUAUCUCCAAAGGUGUUUCGAUGGGUUGGCAUAGAUUGAUAUUAGGAUUUGUCACUCUAAGUAUCAGAGAGGUAUCUCUGGGCCCUCUCGGCAAUGCACACCAUAAGAAGCCUUGCAAGUAAUGUGACUAAUGAGUUAGUUGCAGGAUGAUGCAUUGGAGAAUGAGUAAAGAGACUUGCCGGUAACAACAUUGAACUAGGUAUGAAGAAACCGAUGAUCGAAUCUCGGGCAAGUAACAUACCGAUGACAAAGGGAAUACCAUAUGUUGUCAUAACGGUUCAACCGAUAAAUAUCUUCAUAGAAUAUGUGGGAGCCAAUAUGAGCAUCUAGGUUCCGCUAUUGGUUAUUAACCAGAGAGGUGUCUCGGUCAUGUCUACAUAGUUCUCGAACCCGUAGGGUCCGCACGCUUAACGUUCGAUGACGAUUUUGUAUUAUAUGAGUUAUGUGAUUUGGUGACCGAAUGUUGUUCGGAGUCUCGAAUGAGAUCACGGACAUGACGAGGAGUCUCGAAAUGGUCGAGAGGUAAAUAUUCAUAUAUAGGACGAUGAUAUUCGGACGCCGGAAGUGUUUUAGGGGUACCGGGUACAUAUCGGGUCACCGGAAGGGGUUCCGGGCAUCCCCCCGGCAACUACGUGGGCCUAAUGGGUCAAGAAGGGGACAAACCAUCCCCUAGGUGGUUGGUGCGCCCCAUUUAGGCUGAAAUAGGAGGGAAGGAAAGAGGAGAAUGGAGAAAGGAAGGGGAGGGAUUCGGCCUCCCCCUUCCUUCUCUCCUCCCUCCUCCUUUCCCCUCCGGAUGAAUAUGGAAGGGGGGAGGCCGAAUUGGGAGGUGCCCAAGUAGGAUUCCUCCUACUUGGGGUGCCCCCUUGGCUACCUCUUCUACCCUCGAACCUAUAUAUAUGAGGUGGGGGGGGGGGCACCGCUAGAACACACAUCAUUGAUUCCUAGCCGUGUGCGGCGCCUCCCUCCACAGUUUACGCCUCCGGUCAUAUUCACGUAGUGCUUAGGCGAAGACCUGCGCGGAUCACUUCACCAUCACUGUCACCAUGCCGUCGUGUUGACGCAAUUCUCCCUCGACACUUUGCUAGAUCAAGAGUUUGAGGGAUGUCAUCGAGCUGAACAUGUGUAGAACUCGAAGGUGCCAUACGUUCGGUGCUUGAUCGGUCGGAACAAGAAGAAGUUCGACUACAUCAACCGCAUUAACAAACGCUUCUGCUUUUGGUCUACAAGGGUACGUGGACACACUCUCCCCCUCUCAUUGCUAUGCAUCUCCUAGAUAGAUCUUGCAUGAGCGUAGGAAUUUUUUUAAAUUGCAUGCUACGUUUGCCAACAAACACAACGGGGGCUGAGGUACCAGUCAUCAUGGUCGAGGUUUACACCUCAACAAAACAGGGCCAAGGGGAUGCAGUCCCCGUGGUCCCCAAGGAAGGGCUGGGCCAGACAGUGGCCCAGCCUACACUAAUGUCGGAUCCGGGAUCCAUCAUUCCUAGCACCUAGGUGGUGGGUUCAGAGGCUAUGCCGCCCUCGCAUCCCGCCCCAGGGUGGGCUGCCGCGGGAUGGAAUGAGGAGAUAGAGGCUGCCCUAACGGGCUCCUCCAUCGUAGAAGAGCACCGCGCCAUGAUUGGCACAGCGCUGCACGGCUUCCGGUCCGUAGAGGCCGGAAUGCAGGAGGUUUUCAAAGGCCUCAUCAAGAGUUUCGAGGUAUGCUUCUUUGUAUUUGUAUUACGAACAACCUCCAUGCUUAGAAUUGCCUGUGGAAACAGAUUUUUUCUGAAGACUUUUUGCUUAUAUCGUAGCGUAGCACUUGUAAAGCACAGAAAACAAGUAGCCCCCGAGCCCAAAGCUAGUUUUAAGAAACUGGUUUCGGGAUUGAAGCAUAUUACAAGGCGUUGAUUCAGUAGCCCCCAAGGCUCUGGCCAACCUUCAAAAAGGACCGACCAGGGGAUCGAAGUUGGAAACAAGGACUAAGGCGUGAGUUUAUGAUUGCAGGUAUCAACCUCGACUCCGAACUCUGCUUCUAAGGAGAUAGCGGAGAUGAACCAGAGGCUUAAGAGGCCCAAGGAGGACCUCGAUCUGAUGCAAAAGCAGAUCGAGCUAUCCCAAGGUAAGCUUAAAAAGUUGCAAGGUUAUCAAAUUUACUUUGAAAUGCGCUUGAAUUGUUAAUGCUGACGCAUCUAUGUUUUUCAUGACAUUUGCUAGGACAGAGCUUGAGACGCUCAAGGUUGAGCUGGCAAAAGCUCGGGAGGAGGCCGAGUAGAAGAAGGCUGCGGCCACCAAGGCCAAGAAGGAUCUGGACGCCAAAAAGGUGGCUACGGGCAAGGACCAGGUGCGGGUCCUGGAAGUAGAGGAGACCCUGAAGGGCGUGUACCAGGAGCAUGACGACCUUUAGAACAAGGAUAAGGGGGCGAGCACAAAGCUCAAGAAGCUGCGCUUGUUUACUUCAAUGUGGUGUUGGCCGCAAGGGGUUCGUUGAGUUCACUCAGUUGUGGCAAUCCGUAGAGGCCUUCGCAGAUCUCCCGAGGAGCGUGUUGUUUGUCGGCCGCCACUUUGAUGCAUGGGAGGGCUAUGCCAUGGAGAGGGUGUUUUGGCAACAAUUCUAGGCAUCAUCGCAUUUGGAGCUGUUGAAUCAUUAGACAAAGAAGCUGAUGGAGCUCCUCUGCAUGGCCAAACUGGCCUUCAGGACCUCUGUGUCAACCUUUGGCCCACAGAGGUGUUCCCGACCAGCUUCUUCUGGUUCCUUGCCUAGCUGCAGUAGGUCGGCCCCCCAAGUGGCGCAUUGGAAGAGCUCCGCGUGCCUGGAGGGUGCUCAAUAGGCAUACAGCCGCAUGAGGACGCACUAUCCGCACGUUGAAGCGAUGGUCGUGGCUGCAGGCCCCCCGAAGGGAAGAACCAUACCAUGGAGCAGUACCUUGCCGAGGUGAUGAAAGGAGCCUGGAUCACCGAGGUCGAGUGUCCUAAGGACACUACAUAUUUUUAGGUAGUACUUAGGGAUGCCGGUGUAGUGGAAUGUAAAAAACUUCAUUCUGUUUGAAAUGAAUGUGGCUUUAUAUUCCUUCAUAUGAUUGUGUGCUUUAUUUGUUGACUCCUGUGUGACCAUGUUGAACUGAAAAUGACUAGUCGUCGGCUUCAACCCCUUUGUACAUUAUACAAAGGGUGUUUCAUAUGCAAUAAUGACCCUUAGACGAUGUCUCAGUUUUCGAAGGCGGUCCAUGCACAUGGAAACAAGGCAAUCAAACUGUAGUGGUUUUAUAACUUUCACUUUGUCGUCAAGCAAUAUAUUUUGGAAUAUAUGUAAUUUUGGGAGGUGGAAUCAACGCAAACAGAGGCCCAUAGGCUCCACUAGGCACCAAGCCGCAUGGUGAUGCCUAGUGGGCACACCGUAAGUCGGUUGGGCCUCUUGUUUGGCCGCAAGGAAGCUUAUAUCGAGAGAAAAAUCGUGUUAAAAUUUCAGCAUAAUCUGAGCUACGGAUCUCCGGGAAUUUAAGAAAUGGUAAAAGGCUAGAAAACGGGAACAUGAACAGAAGAGAAUAGAGAGAGAGAGAGAGAGAGAGAGAGAGAGAGAGAGAGAUAGAGAGAGAUAGAGAGAGAGAUCCAAUCUCGGAGGGGUGAGAGAGCCCCUCCGGGUACCAUGGAGGCCAUGCUCCAGAGGGGAAAACCUCCUCCCAUCUAGGGGGAGUCCAAGCAAGAAGAAGGAGGGGUGCUAUCUCCCCCCUCUCUCUUGGUGGCGCGGGCACACCGCCGAGGGAAUCAUCGUGACGAUGAUCUACACCAACAACUUCGCCGCCGUCAUCACCAACUCUCUCCCCCUCUAUACUGCAAUGUAACACCUCUUCUCCUUGUUGUAAUCUCUACUUAAACAUGGUGCUUAAUGCUACAUAUUAUUGUGCAAUGAUGUGUUGCCAUCCUAUGAUGUUUGAGUAGAUUUGUUUUGUCCUAUGGGUUGAUUGAUGAUCGUGAUUGGUUUGAGUUGUAUGUUUUAUUUUGGUGCCGUCCUAUGGUGCCCUCCGUGUCGCACAAGCGUGUGGGAUUACUUUUGUAGGGUGUUGCAAUACGUUAAUGAUCUUUGGUAGCUGCGGAUGCUUUCUAGAGUUCCUAAGUGCAUAUGAUCCAAGUACGGAAAGUAUGUUAGCUCGUCCCUCUCCCUCAUAUAAAAUUGCAAUAAUGAUUACCGGUCUAGUUAUCGAUUGUCUAUGGAAAAAUAACUAUCUUGCGUAACAAAAAUCUCUCUACUAAAACUAACUUAAUUGUUUCUUUAUCUAAAGAGCCUCUAACUUUUAUUUACGUUAUCUUUAUUAUCUUGCAAACCAAUCCCUUUACACCUAAAAAGUACUUCUAGUUUUAUACUUGUUCUAGGUAAAGCGAACGUUAAGUGUGCGUAGAGUUGCAUCGGUGGUUGAUAGAACUUUAAGGAAAUUUUGAUUCCACCUUUAGCUCCUCGUUGGGUUCGACACACUUAUUUAUCGAAAAAGCUACAAUUUACCCCCUAUACUUGUGGGUUAUCAAGACCUUUUUCUGGCGCCGUUGCCGGGGAGCAAUAUUGUGGGGUUGAUAUUCUCAUGUGUGCUUGUUUGCUUUAUCACUAAGUAGAUUUUAUUUUUUGCUCUAGUUUUCUAUCUUUAGUUAUGGGUAGGCAACAAAAAAUAUCAAAAAAAAAAUAGUUGUACCUGCUAACCCAGUGGUUGAAGAAUCGCCCAAAAUCUAUCAUACUGCUGAAGCUUUGUACUUGGAUCAUCUUCGAUCCCUAUGUGCUUGUGCUGAAAACCCAACUAGCUUAGUUGAAGGAAAAAUCAUUAAGUGAGCAUGCUUACUUUGUGUGACAACGCUUAUCGCAAAAAGGGAAACUUUUAUGGCAUCAUAUUAAUAAUUUGUAUUGCUAUGCUUUGAAUUUAUGUGAAAUACAUGAUAUUACUAGUUGUUCUGAAGACCCUAAAAAACACGUCCCGUCCCUAUGUGAUUUUAAGGACAAUGGAAUUGUAUCUUCGUAUGCCAAGGGUGUUUAUAAUUACUAUGAUAUUGAAAAAAUUCAAGAAUUUGUUGCUUUUAAGGGUGCCUAUGAAAUUGCUUCUUUGAUUGAAAAGUAUGAUGUUACUCUUUACAAAUUUGAAAAUUUUGCCAUACUUAAAUAUUACUAUGAAAACUAUGCUUAUAAUGCUUAUGUUAAACAAUAUAUUAAGGACGCCUACGCUGUCCAAGAAGAUAUUAAUAUUUUGCAAAAAUCUAUGGAAGAAGAAAUUGCUGAAACUGCGAGCUCAUUAGAUGAAAAAGAUGAUGAGGAGAGUGAAGAACAAAAGGAGGAAGAGCGGAUUGAUCACCCGUUCUCACCUUCUAAUGAGGGUAACUCUUCAACUCAUACAUUGUUUAAUAUCCCUUCAUGCUUACCGAAGGAUGAAUGCUAUGAUGAAUGUUAUGAUCCCAUUGAUUCAUUGGAAAUUUCCCUUUUUGGUGAAAUUGAUGCUUGCUAUGCUUGUGGCCAUGAUGCCAAUUUGAAUUAUGCUUACGGAGAUGAACUUGCUAUAGUUCCUUAUGUUAAGAAUGAAAUUGUUUCUAUUGCACCCACACAUGAUAGUCCAAUUAUGUUUUUGAAUUCUCCAAACUACACUAUAUCGAAGAAGUUUGCACUUAUUAAGGAUUAUACUGAUGGGUUACGUUUUACUACUACACAUAAUGAUUUUGAUGAAUAUAAUAUGCAUGUGAUUGAUGCACCUACUUGCAAUUAUUAUGAGAGAGAAACUACAUCUCCACCUCUCUAUGUUCAACAUGAUAAAAUUGCAAGAAACUGUUUAUGCUAUCAUUGGCCUUUACUUGAUGUGCAUGAAUUGUUCUUUUAUGACAUGUCGAUGCAUAGGAAGAGGGUUAGACUUCGUCAUUGCAUGAUAUAUGUUUCUUUGUGCUCACUACUAAAUUACAAAUCAUUGAUGAUUAAAAUUGGCUUUGAUAUACCUUGGGAUACUGGUGGAUUGAUUACUUGAGCACUUUAUGCCUAGCUUAAUGGCUUUAAAUAAAGUGCAACUAGGGAGACAACCCAGAAGUUUGAUAGAGUAAUUUUAUUAUGUUGUGUGAUUUUAAAGAGUUUAAAAAAAA
rnacentral:lncRNA from 1 species